AUGGCAUUUGUCUGUGGAAAGGGGAAUGUUGGACAGUCAGUGACCCAAACCGAAGGCACUGCGACCCGUAAACACGAAGGAGACCGCAUUGCUCUCAACUGCAAUUACACAACUUCUUACUCAGCCUAUCCAUUCUGGUACAUUCAGAAACCCAGCCAACCUCCCAGGCUCUUCCUGGAUGAUUUGGAGGGGACUCCUCUUCUACUGAUGAGGUCAGUCUAGGAUUCAAAGCCAAGCACAAUAAAGAACAGAAGACUUUCAACAUGGUGAAGAUUGCCAGCCCUGAGUGACUCUGCUGUCUAUUUUUGUGCUUUGAGCGACACAGUGGGGUGGGCUGGAAAAUGUCCUUCCUUGUGCCUUGGUUCUGCUGAUCACCAUCUCAGCCUUAAUCACAACUUCCAUGCCAAGCACGAUAAAAACCAUAAGAGCUUCAACAUGGAGAAAUCUGCCAGCCAGCUGAAUGACUCUGCUGUCUAUUUCUGUGCUGUGAGUGACACAGUGAAGUCAGUCAGUGCAGAGAAGCAGAGCAAAAACUUGCAAGGGGAAAUGAGCCUAGAUCUGCUUGAAGACUGA